UGGUGCUGCUGCUCUCCCGCACCACCUCGGACGGACCAGGGAACACCUUCACAUCUGGCGGCGGAGGGCGGGCUGUAGGCAAAGGAGAGGAACAUGGGCUGUAUCAGCAGAAGACAAGAUUUUAUUACUUUAUCGUCUAAUAAAGUCUGCCCAGGCCUUGUAAGGUACGACGGUGGUCCAAA